rnacentral:rRNA from 1 species
UGAGGAACAUGACCUUCGGCGGGGGAUAGCCGGCCCAACGGCCGGGUAAUACCGCGUACGACCACAUGGGGACAUCCCUGAGUGGUGAAAGCAGCAAUGCGCCGAUGGAGUGCCCCGCGGCCUAUCAGCUAGUUGGUGAGGUAACGGCUCACCAAGGCGACGACGGGUAGCUGGUCUGAGAGGAUGGCCAGCCACAUUGGGACUGAGACACGGCCCAGACUCCGUAGGGAGG